ACCUCAGAACAAUAACUAAAGCAUAGAAGGAAGGCUAAAAUAAGAAUUCAGAAACUAUAAACCGGCUCUCUUCUAGCUUACGACACAAACUAUGAGUGAGAAAAGGACAAAUGAUUCGCUCUUUGCUUCAUUUUUUCCGAGGUUGUCACAACAUGAAAUGUCAUUUGGACCUAUUGGACUCAUUUUAACUCGGCCAAAUACAUAGUAACAUACAUAAGAAGAUUUUACUUAUAUUUACCGAACUAUUUGACACGGUCGCGUCAACUGUGUUUACGAGUGUCUUGUGUUCAGAUUGUUUUAAGUGAUAAUUUAACAAUAUUUUUCCAAAUAAAUGGAAAGAAACUUUUAUUUAUAUCAAAUAAUUGAGUGUCUCGACUGUGUGACAUUAUGUCUUGUGUGGUAUGGGGCUGCAGCUCACAUUCAGGAAGAAAAGAAAAUAGCCAACAACUUCUGUCGUUUCAUCGAUAUUAAAUCCAAAAGUGUCGACUGGAUUUACAUGAAAAGUCAGUUCAAGAAGACGAGAUGAAAAAUUUAAAAGAAAAGCUGAACAAGUCCCGCCUCAAGAUCAAACGACUUAAUGAAAAAAAAAAAAACAAUGUGACAGGGUGUCACAAAGACAGUUUCUAAGCAAAUUGACACUGUUUAGAAAUUAAUAAAUUUGUAUUUAUUGUAAAUAUAAUGUACAUAAUUAAU